ensembl:snRNA U6 U6 spliceosomal RNA
GUUCUUUCUUUGGCAGCAUGUAUACUAAAAUUGGAAUGAUACAGAGAAGAUUACCAUGGAUCCUGCAUAAAGAUGGCAUGCAACUUUGUGAAGCAUUCCAUAUUUUA